rnacentral:lncRNA from 1 species
CCUUUCUAGAGCAUUAGGAUGUGGAUUCUAGACAGGAUUGUGAGUUCCUUCCAAGGAUAGGGUUUCCUCUUCCCUAGGACAGGAUUCACCUGAGAGUGAGAGUUACCUCCCCUACCUGGUCUGAAAACCUUCUCAGAUUGGGGCUCUCUGCCUUGCAAAACCCUAUCCAGACAGAUUGAUAGGUCAAACUACUUGACCUGGCUUUGGUGUGCUUUCCUUUCUUAGGACACUGGCAUUGAAUUGGAAAGGAAUCGGAUGAAUCCUCUUUCUUCCGCCUGACAAAAGUGGACACGCGGUGAUACCUGAUUGGCUCAAAAUCUAUAGUUGUCAAAAUAAAAUAAUAUAAGGAGAACAAGCACUCGGGAAAAUCUCUUAGCAGAAGGGGGAUGCCCCUUAUAAUUAAGCAAAGAACACACCGAAGCUGGACAGAUUGGAAAAAGCCCCUUUAAGGAAGGACCUAUGUAGAAGCUUAUUCCGGACAAAAGGAAAUCUCUGACACAGAUUGAGACUUGAUCGGACGAAACCGCUUUGCUGAAAGUCCCUCGAACUGUCUUUGAAUAAGGCUGAGAACCCGACUUCCUACUUGCUCGAAAGCGACUGAACUGACUUCGACUGAGUGAGCUUCCUCUUUGUCUUUGCUUACGUCAUCUCAUCUAUCUAUGUUCUUUAUUGUCUCUUUCGCGGACUUAUGAUUGUUAUGAAAUCGCCUUGGACAGAGACUUCCCGGUGAGCUACUCUCUAUCGUUCCUACUCAAGUACUAUCUUGACUGCUAUCUAUCGUUCUAUUUUAACCUUCGUUAACAACCUUCCUUUCCUGGUCUUUCACUCCUUACUCUGAACGAGAUGAGCCCUCACUCCAGGAAGAAAAACCUUGCACCUUAGAAUAGAAUCGAUUCUAGCUACCUUUCGAAGAUUAAGUAGGCCCUUUCCUUUUCUCCGAGCUCUUAGGGUCUAUCCCUUCGGAGAGUUCCUAGGCUAACGUCUAUCCCUUUUCUUGUUUUCCCUAGUCCCUGACUCACAAGUAGUACAUUUAGAAAGAAUAGAUAUAGAAAACAGAGAUCCCGCUUAACCUUUCGUAGCUGACUUGAGUCCCUUAAAACUCAUUCGAUUGCUCGUGACGGAUAGAUACAUAUGGGGUUUAGCUAUUGAAGUGAGUCUUUGUCCGAGAUGCAUGUGUUAAAGCUAUUCUUCUAUUCUCUUUACUUACACCUUACACUUCCGCCUUAUCUUACCAAAUUUUUUGAGGAGUAGCAAGAACAACUCAAUUGAAAAGGUGAGCCACGUACCAAAGAGCUCGAUCAGCUAUUAACCUAGCCCCACCAACUGAAGAAAAGAUGCGCGUAACACAGAAUUUUCAUUCUAGGAACACCUCUUUCUAUCGAUAAGAAGCCACAUUUGAGUAGUUUUGCGAGUUCAGGUAUUUGUAGACCCAGGUUCCCACCACUUCUAUUUCAAGGUCAAACAAAGCCUUUUGUGCUGGAUCAUCCGGUUCAUCUGGUGAAUCCUAUCGUAGUUAUUCAGCCAUCGGCACGGCGCUGGAAAGUCUCACUCGUGUACGAACAAAACGGAGAAUGAAGAGCAUUAUGGUAUCGCAAAAGAAGCACUAAGCUAUAGCAGAAGUGUCAAAUAGCCAACUGUCCCCCGUAGAAGAUUUUCCUAAGAUGGCCCCGCCUAAGGACCACGAAAGCUUGACAGCCGUAGAUUGAGCCCUGGAUCACUAUCUUACUAGCAGUAGUGCUAUUUUUCUAUUGGAGCUUCCCUUAUCCUAUUGUCAGUCUUAGAGAAAUCCCUGAAUACCAUACUAGGUAGAAAUGCAGUUCCUAUUCUAUUAAGGAAGAUGUGCCAGUGAGGGAAUAAUGGAGCAAGCAAUAGGACACAUGAGGGAAGGCCUUCUAUCUUUAAUCUUUCUUUCCGCUUCAUUUGUUAUUUGAUUUUAGCGCUUGUAUUACGUUUUCUUCCUAUACUAAGCAUGCUUUUCUUUUGGUUCUCUUUCUUAUUUCAUCCACAAGAUCCCAUCGAAGACGAUCUCGAACUUCCCUCAGUUGUGCAAGCUGUUCAUCGCACAAUACUCCUGUAACAGAAAGUAGAUCAAAGACAUACUCUCUCUUCAAUCUGAAGAAGUCAGAGUCAGAGUCUUAUAAGAAAGCUUCCACUUUUUAGUCUGAAAAUAAAGACAGAUAAAUCAAAGUAGACAAAAUAGAGAAAUAAAGACUCUCAUUCAUUAGGCAAGUGGGAAACAAGGAAUUGAAUUAUCAAGUGAGUGGGGCGACUCUCUAAUUCACAGAUAAAGUGACUCAGGAAUCUUGACCCCGUGCUUAGGUCGGGGCGGGAUGACCCGGGGAAGGCCACGUCAGCUACCCUCCCCUUAUUAGAAAAUAAAGAACAUAGCUAUGAGUUGACUAGAUAUAUUAGCUGAAGAUGGAACAGGCUUCCCGCAUCAAAAACAUCAACAAGAUGAUCAGCUUGCCUCAAUUAAGACACAUGGUACAGUAUGGUAAUGCGACCCCCCUCUUCAGGAACGCAAGUUCGAAACAAGGAAGGGGGUGUGUAGUGAGGGUCUCACCGAUAGCUGGAUUGAAGAAAAGCACGAAACAAGGUAGCUCUAGCCGAACCGAUAGCUGGAUUGAAUUCUAACAAUCGAAGAACCCUGCCGCUUGGGUUCUUGAAAGUGAGAAUACUUGAAAUUGCUUAUGAUAUGGAAUAUUUGAUUGAGACUACGCCGCUCCUCUUGACGACUUUACUUCGUAACCUAGAUAUUCUCAGUUUCUCCCAAGCGGGAAAUAAGGGAAUAUGGAAUAUUGGAAUUCACUACUGAACUGUUCUUCACUCAACGCCUCUUCCUUGAACAUGGUUAGCUUCGCUUUCAUCUACCUUCCCGUCGCGGGCUAAGUACUAACUAAGGUGAGUUUACUCUCCCUUGAGUAGAGAUAAUUAUAACUUAGCUUUCAAUUGAUCUUCCCCACUGACAGACUGAAACCGGCCUAAAAGCAGCCGUUCUCAUUCCCUUCAAAUCAGUGGCUUCCUAGCCCAUUCAUUACCUUCCUUUCCGUUAACUAUUGAGUCGAUUUCAUCUCCUUCGACAAAACAGCCAACCUUUAUAUACGAAAGACUUACCCUUAGAUGCAUUUUAACCCUGAGCAAGGGACAAGCCAAGACUUGUCUGAUCGAAUGCAAUAAGCAAAUGAAUUGUGUGCGUCAUCCAUAACGAAAUCGACAUUCUUCUUUCAUUUCAUCAACAAAUGAAUGAUGGAUUGUUAUGUGCGCGUCAUGCCCCCCUGACUUUGGUUGGAGCACUUCGCUUCGCUAGUGACAGUUGUGUUAUUCCUUCGCUGAAGAAGCCCUCGGACUGUGCUGCUGCCUGAGCUGCUUCUCUUCUCAUUGUGUCCGGUAGUGCCCAAUGGGCUAUUCAAUUAUUUACUGACCUGUCUCAGUCAUUGAAACCUCGAUUCGAUACCUACAAUGAAUUGCGAAGAUAGGCUUAGGUUCUAUUUUGGACAGUUAGGCUCUGCAAAGUGUAGAGGAGAAAAAGCAUAAUCCUAAGUAUGGGGAAUACUCGAGACAAGGGGCUGCUACCCUUGCUUUCUUUACUCGUUCGUUGAGCUCUUAGCUUUGCUUCUGUCGGCUGGAUUGGUUAUGUUAUGCUUUUUGUCUACUAUAGUAUGCUAGAGCUUGCAGGCCGAGCCUCCUCAUUCUGCUAUGCCCGGUGGUCUAAAGCACGGUUCAACUGCGGUGUGUAAUGUGAUGUCUGAAUUACCCAUUAAGGGCUGACUCCGCCAGGCAAAGGCAAGAGGACCACUACUAUGAUGUAACUGAUGAUCAGUGGACUCUUCUUCCUCUACUACUGAGACUGACUGACCUGCUAAGAGGGUGGUAGAGGCAUUUUAAAGGAUAUCGGGGGAAAGAGAAAUAGAACCUAGAAGGAAAGGGAAGAGCUCUUCCUUAUUAUAUAUAUAAGAGGCACGAUUCCUGCUUAAAAAGAGAAGGGCUACAUUGCUAUACCUAAAUCAGUUUGACUUAAUGCUUGCACUUGGACUUUUCUCCCAAGCUUCCUUCUAUGUUGACAGAAGCGGAUAGGCAGGCAACAAAGAAGAAGAAGAAUGGCUAGGGACAUGGUAGUAGCAGUCUAUCUUCGAUCCGUCUUAUUUUAUUGCGCUUCAGCUUCCUUCCCCUGAUGGAAUCUUUCUGCUCGAAGCUCUCUCUUCCUAGCACACGGAAGAAGCAAGACCGGGCGAGAGCUCGUUCCAAUCACAAGUCCUACUACAAGUCGUUUAAAAACCUUUUCAAAAACCACUUUGUAUAGGGCGGGUAUCACGCUCAAUAGAACCAUACUUAUGUCAAUAGGAGGGAGAAAGAGAACAGCAAGAAAAAGCCCGGGCCCGCUUACGGAAAGUGGAAAUGGAGGCAGAUCAGUUUCGAGUGAAUGGAUACUCUGAGAUAGAACGAGAAAAAUGGAAUUUGAUUAAUUCAACUUAUAAGAUUUUGGAACAAUUAGAAAAUUACAAAAACGAAACCAUUCAUUUUGAACAACAAAGAGCGAUUAAUCAAGUCCGACAACGGGUUUUCCAACAAGCUUUACAAGGAGCUCUAGGAACUCUGAAUAGUUCUUUAAACAACGAGUUACAUUUACGUACCAUUAGCGCUAAUAUUGGCUUGUUUGGGGUGAUGAAAGAAAUAACUGAUUAGUCCUUUCUUUUUCUUUUUUUUUACAGGACUGGAUGGUAUAAUUGAUUUGUUUUCUCCGGUGUCCCAAUAGUCAAAGUGGAAAUAUCUGUUGUACUAGUGGUUGCUGAGUAAAGAAAUGCUCUGACCUGUCAAUAGGAGAGUGGUACGCCUUUUUCUCAGAAAUGCCAAGCCGAAAAGCAGGAGGCUAGGCCAGAACAGUAGUGACACAGGGUGGGUGGGUGCCAAGCAGUUCCUUCUGCAUCAAUCAAUAGAUCGGAUCACGCGUAGAGAGAGCGCUUUAAAGGAAGGUAUUAUUCGUUAGAAAGAGAUAUCAGGUAUCGACUCUUUUGGCAUAACAUUAUUCUUAUUCCUCCAAGCGGAAUCCUAAUCAUCCCGAGUCCUAUUGAAAUGCGGAGAAACAGUAGGGCAUUAGAACAGUAUAGCUCAAUGUGGAGGGCACAAACCCGCAAUUUGGCUGAGAUGAUGGUACCAAACCGAUGCUGAAAUCUUGGCCCGUGAUGAGUUGGAAUCCCUUGAGAGGCAAUUAACAAUUGCGAAGUGUGAGUUUCGGGUGGCAAACAGAAGAAGAAGAGGAAUCGGUGCGCUAGUGAUUCAGAAAUCGCUGUAAACAUGGUCAAAAUGGAGGAAGACCCUACCCUAACGAAACGGAAUGAAACUAGUGGGCUUGGGCUAUGUCUCGAAAGCCAAAAGGAAAGAGGGGACCAAAGCGCUCGAACCCAUAAUCACUUCAGGAGUGCUAACCACUCAAUAUAUCAUGCCGUUGAGAAAGACUCAAUGCACAUUGGUCGAGUCUUUCUUAUAAGGCUUUCCCAUUGCCGGCAAGAAAGAAUGGGGAAAAGGCCAUCCACUUCCAUCAUCUGGAAAGUGUGGAAAAGAUUUAGGUUGCCCAGGUAUAGGCAGAAAUGGAAGACCUACACAUCAGGGAGGCAUCAGAGUUCUUGAAGUACAGCGACAGGACUCAUCAAAUGCUGAAAAAGUAAGGCCUCGAUCCUAAACAGGUAUGGGACGUUUCCUAAUGUACUUGAUAUUCUGUUGGCGUCUCCGCAAAAGAGAACCGUGUUAAGGGAUGACUAUACAGUCACAAAGACAGAAGGUUUGGGAUACAAGGGACCUGAUGGUAAAGCUAGAGUCUCUGUCAACAAGUGUCUAGAAAUCAAUCUACCUCCCGUGCAAUUGUUUUCCUUUUGGUUUCGAGUCUUAUUUUCUUUCUUAGUCUUAAUGAAAAAGAAAACCUUCCAUAUACUUUUUUAAAACCUCCAGCUACCCUUUUGAAUUGACAUCUCUGAUAUUUUUUUAGUUGGUUAUUAGUAGGGCCUCAGAACGCUAAAAGGUGGGGGUACAAGACUUGUCACGAUAGAAAAGAUAAAUAAAUGACUAUAAGGAACCAACGAUUCUCUCUUCUUAAACAACCUAUAUCCUCCACACUUAAUCAGCAUUUGAUAGAUUAUCUAACCCCGAGCAAUCUUAGUUAUUAGUGGGGGUUUGGUCCGUUAGCUGGUAUUUGUUUAGUCAUUCAGAUAGUGACUGGCAUUUUUUUAGCUAUGCAUCACACACCUCAUGUGGAUCUAGCUUUCAACAGUGUAGAACACAUUAUGAGAGAUGUUGAAGGGGGCUGGUUGCUCCGUUAUAUGCAUGCUAAUAGAGCAAGUAUGUUUCUCAUUGUGGUUCACCUUCAUAUUUUUCGUGGUCUAUAUCAUGCGAGUUAUAGCAGUCCUAGGGAAUUUAUUCGGUGUCUCGGAGUUGUAAUCUUCCUAUUAAUGAUUGUGACAGCUUUUAUAGGAUACGUACCACCUUGGGGGCAGAUGAGCUUUUGGGGAGCUACAGUAAUUACAAGCUUAGCUAGCGUCAUACCUGUAGUAGGAGAUACCAUAGUGACUUGGCUUUGGGAUGGUUUCUCCGUGGACAAUGCCACCUUAAAUCAUUUUUUUAGUCUUCAUUAUUUACUCCCCUUUCUUUUAGUAGGCGCCAGUCUUCUUCAUCUGGCCGCAUUGCAUCAAUAUGGAUCAAAUAAUCCAUUGGGUGUACAUUCAGAGCUGGAUAAAAUUGCUUCUUACCCUUAUUUAUAUGUAAAGGAUCUAGUAGGUUGGGUAGCUUCUGCUAUCUUUUCUUCCAUUUUUCUUUUUUAUGCUCCUAAUGUUUUGGGGCAUCCCGACAAUUAUAUACCUACUAAUCCGAUGCCCACCCCACCUCAUAUUGUGCCGGAAUGGUAUUUCCUACCGAUCCAUGCCAUUCUUCGUAGUAUACCCGACAAAGCGGGAGGUGUAGCCGCAAUAGCACCAGUUUUUAUAUGUCUGUUAGCUUUACCUUUUUUUAAAAAUAUGUAUGUACGUAGUUCAAGUUUUCGCCCGAUUCACCAAGGAAUAUUUUGGUUGCUUUUGGCGGAUCGCUUACUACUAGGUUGGAUCGGAUGUUAACAUGUGGAGGCACCAUUUGUUACUAUUGGACAAAUUUCUCCUUUUGUUUUCUUUUUGUUCUUUGCCAUAACGCCCAUUCCGGGACGAGUAGGAAGAGGAAUUCCUAAUUCUUACACGGAUGAGACUGAUCACACCUGAAAAGUGAAAAAUUCUGACACCAAUCAUUUGAGUCUUACACCAAGAAUGGAUAAGUGGAUGAGUUUUCUAGGAAUUCCCACCCCAUCCUUUAUGAUCUCUGGGAUUCCGUACAGCUAGAAAAUCGCGGUUCUUCGCUCGGCGCUUAGCUCAUUUUUUUACCCCGGAUAUCAAACCUUAGGGAAUUACUCAGAGAAAGACAAAACCAAACUAAACAAACAAGCUCGGCUGGCUCAUCAAUGGUUCGCAGGAGGAGUAGAGUGAUUAACGGGAAUUGGAGAUUGCUCGUUCGCUAAAGUCAUGUCUGCCUGCCCGUUGAUUCAGUACGUUCCUAUCCCCUUGGGAAGUUUGAUCAAUCUUCCUCACCUCUAAUGGUUGGUAUUGAGCAGCCUGGUGGGGGUUAGAAUGGGAUCUAUCUCAUUCCAUCAUAUAUGACAUGCACGUUGACCCCCUUUCAAGGUCCACGAAUGGAAAUAUGUUAUACCUUUUCCAUGACGACUGACUCCCCUCUCUAGACAAAAGGAAUAUAGAAACAGAUGUAAAGCAUUCGUAGGAAAUAUAGAAACAGUAGGGGUAGAUAGGACAUCAUCAUAGGGAAUACCUAUUAGUAAGGGCUAUUUACUGGGCUGGAUUAGGGAGCUAGCUCCUUAGUAAGAGAGAUUUCAUAGGCGUGCUCUUUAUACUAAUUAGAUUCAGAGAGAUUUGCUGCUCUUGACUAUCCCGCUUGUUUUUUCUGUUGAUAGGUUAGAUUCUCGAUUGAACGUUAGGAAACCCUCCCAAAAAUGGAGUAUUUCCCCUAUAUCCCAGUGCCUCGACUAGUGUUUUUCCUAAGUGGCAGAUAUUUUGUUUAGGCUUUUACUCAUAUGUAUUCCUCUCUUUGAGUGUGCUAGUAAUAAGCUGGGCAUGUAAAAUCCAUAAAGGCGAGGAAAACUCGUUUGAAAGUUGUCCUCCUUGAAGUUCCUUUUUUGGAAUUUUUUUAACUAGUUGAUUUAUUCAUCUAUAUCUUAUAUCUUCCUUCUCUCCGGGCCAAUCCUAAAAGCCCAUCAAAUUACAGUCCGCCUUUCCCUUCCCUCAAGAGCUAAAUCGACUGCGGAUCUUAGCAGCAUCGCUUAUUCCUCCAACGGCUUCUUCUUAAAUAGAAAUAGAAAUAGAAAUAGCAUCGGAGUCGUUCACAAGAACUUACUAUUCUCUUUCUAAACCUAGAAAGCCAGAAAGAGAAGUGCUUUAAUUAAGCAGAAGUGAUCAACGAAGACCUAAAAGCAGUUAUGUUAUAUAAAGCACUGCUGCCAUUUCCUUUGCUACCGGCUUCUUUCAGUCCUAAAGUUAAAGUCAAUCAAGAGGGUAAACUCGAUCUAUCUUUCCGGCUUAGCCGAACUUCUCACCUGGUAUGUCCCGGAUGCCCUACCAGGGGAAUCCUAGAGUAACUAAAGGAUAUUCUGAUUCAAGCUCUGAACAAAAGCUCAUUCUUUUCUCUAUUGUACCUGCAUCGGCAUCUCCUUAUGCUGAAUCAAUAGCAGCUGGAUUGUGAACAAGAGCUGAAACACGUGAAAGCUCAAAGCUAUCGGUUCUGUCAUACUCUAUUCUAGUUCUUUCUACUCUCGAGUUACCUUUCGAGCAGACUCAGAAAAAGAAGAAGCCAACGGAGCGGUAGCAGCUACUUCUUCUGCUUCUUCGGUUGUUGCCGCCUAAUUAGCUACGAUCAAUGAAAAUAUCGUAAGAUAAGAAAGUUGUGCCACGAACAGCGCUUUGCCCUUUCUAUAUAAGCAGCACUACGCUGAAUGAUAAAGAUUUCCUGCUCCCAUCUAUUAGUUAAGGGGCAUCCCAUGCGGUCAACAACCAACAAAAAAAAGUUCUAUUCUUCACUACUCGUACAGGAAGGACUCUCUUUCUGUCUGGAGGGAAUCCUUUUUCAAGAAAGAAAGAUGCCUCAACUGGAUAAAUUCACUUAUUUCACACAAUUCUUCUGGUCAUGCCUUUUCCUCUUUACUUUCUAUAUUCCCGUAUGCAUAUUUACUUUAUAUCUUUUUAUAUGCAACGAUGGAGAUGGACUACUUGGUAACUUUAAUAUUAACAAAUUAUGAAACCGGGGAAUCCCCUGGAUUUUCCUAGCCGCUAUAGUUUUGUUUUUUUCUCUUGUUUGUAGUUAUCUGAACCUCACCUAUUAUUUGCUUUUUGUUUUGGGCAAGGCGGCGGGAGGCGUGGCAAGCCGACGGGCUUCACUUUUUUUAGCCGACCUAAAGGGCGGGGGCUUUGGGAUGGGAAUCUUUAAGAGAUUUGUCACUCUCCUCAUCCCACUUCGACUCACCAAGGAGAAGGUAAGUACUGUUAUAUCGUUUCUUCUGAAGUGAUAUAUAUCAAUGCCUGGAUUGGGGGGGCGUCGGCCCACGGGAAAACAUUUACAAAUGCGACCAUGAAUCGAACCAGAUCGAAACAUUCAGCUGUCGAUGGACAAACUUUGUCGGAACGUCGACCGCAAACGAAGGAUGGCCAGGCCCCGGUUCCCAGGGUUAGGGUAUUCCCUAUUAUGAGCCUACUCAAAUCAGAACUAAACUGGUUGAUUCUCUUUCGCCUAUCGAUCGGCCGGCUUUAAGCAACCUUCGCAUUUCCUGCUGAGAUCCCAAGUCUCCAAGUGGGCCCUCUUGGCCAAACACGACCUUGGCUUUUUAGAGAAUCCCGCUCCUGUGUCGUAGGACUUGUAGCUCGGCAGUCCACCGGGUGGGUUUGUUUAUCCUUCCAGUUUCGAGUGUCUUCUUGGAUAGUUAUAGCGGCCCAUAGGCGCGAGAUGUACCUUGUGGGGGGGGGGGGCGGCGGUCCCCUGGACAUAGUCCUUCCAGGCAGUGGCCGUUUAGUCCAUGGUCCAUUGGAUGGUCGGUGCAAGGCUAAAAAUUGGAACACAUUGAUUCCGCUCGUUCCCGUCCUUCGCUUCAAGGCCUGUCCCUCAAUGUGGUCAGUACUCUAUACUGUCGGGCAGCGAAGCUUACACUUGUUCACUAAUUAUGACGGUUCACCAGGGCCUCUUUCCUCCUCCCUUUUCUGCUCACUCGUAGGGGUCCGGACCCCCACAAAGGGGGAGGGAGUCGACUGAACAUCUCAGCCAUUGGCGGGAACAUCUCACCUAGUAUCAUUCUUCAUCUCCGACGGCUACGAAAUUCGAUGAGUCAUCGUAGGGGCUUCUUUCUUUUACUUCAAGCAAACCCUCCUUCAAAUCCAGAUCGAAAAAUUGCGUAGAUUGAGAUGCAGCUCUUUGGUCUCCACUUGGGUCAGCAGUUGAACUCGUUGCCGAAGACCUUGAAGCUGCUCUUGCUGACUUCCUUCCCGUGGGACUUUCCCUCGUCAACUGGGGAAAUGGGCUCCGAUCCUCUUUCUAUUCUAUAGCUGUCUAUUGAAUAGAGGUCGGUGCCAGUGGAAGAAUGGAAUCAAGAAUCCAUUGAGUUGCUCCUUCUGCUUGUCAUUCGAGUGCUGGAAAAAAACAUAUAGCCGCUGCUUCCAUAAAAGCUCAUCUGAUUCCUGAAUCUGGUUCGCUCCUCCCGUUCUUUGGUAAGCAGUCUUACUCCUCUCCUUUUAGUCGAGCGUAUUUUCAUCUCCUCCCACCGCUACUGGUGCAAGAACAUCAGUUGACUUUGAAGCUUCGAUCGUAGGAUCGUUUUAACCAUUUUAUGUUAUUUCUUGAUCGAAAUGAAAAUCCCCACCUACUGGUUCUCAAUAUUAUUAAGCAUUAACAAAUGGGACAGAUCUGGCAGUUAAAACAUUGGUACAGGCCCCACUUUCACCACUCGAUCGGGACAAAGAGCAGGUACUAGUAAUUAACCUACUUACCGCCCUGUUGAUUCGAAAGAACUCCGCGACACGGACUUUGGGGAAAGAAGGGAAGGAUUGAUUGCCCCAGAAAGACUGGAGUACAACGUAACCAAAGUAGGACUAUUCCAGCGGACUAGAAAGUUCUUCUAUUACGAUCUUUCCUAUGAUUACUCACAAUGGAUCUCGCAUGAAGCUCGGAUUAUUGUGUGUGGAAGUGGUGCCAGGCAAGGUUUCGGAUAACCACGUGUCAUUGAUAACUUUUCUACUCUUUCCACUGGAAAGAUAGGAGAUGUUUUCUAGCCAGAAACGGCUGUGGUUGGGUGGACUGCUCCACAUCUUACUAUACACUAUACCUAAGAACCUAGUUCAUAUCGAGACUCGGAAUUAUAUGAUCCUUUAUGAUAUGAAAAUUCUCGUUCUUGAGAGGAUGUGGCAGAAGAACCAUAACCUGAGAGAUUGGCUUUCGGGUCCACUGCAGUAGAAAGCUUGGCUAGCGUAGAUACGGAUCCUUGCGAAUCGACAUCUUCAAAGGUCGUUCUGUAGGAAAAAUGACGCGUUAUUGAACAUUCAGAAUAUCGGGCUGAUACCGGUGUUGACAAAUGGGAAUUGGCUCGAACAGAGGAAACGCUGAGGAGAUCUCGUUUUUAAUGCGACCCAUGGAUCAGAAAAUACCUAAUAAGAGGGAUUCCGUGGGCCUACUUUCCUUUCCGAGUAACUGACAGUCACAGGACUUGGAAACGACCAAAAGAAGAAAUAGGAAAUUCCUAUUCGUGCAUCAAUAAGAGAAAGGGUCCACGAAUCAUAUGGAAUUUCAUCCCAAGCCAGCAACUGAGAAAACAGCGGAUCUUGGUGCUACUGUCGCAAACCCAUAACCUUGAAAGCUGGGUGGCGGUGAUAAAGAGGGGUCAUGCAUUUAUAGAAUUCCUUAUUGGUCUCGCAGCUACCGAUGGAAUAUGACCAAAAACAACUGGGAAUUUCACUUCAAAGGUGGGUUCCCCUCUGGGAUAUUGAAUGCCAUAGAUUUUUUGUUAUCUCUGCAAGCAACUAACUCCUAGUGCCGCUGAAACAUAAUUUAGUUGAAAGCUAACCGUCCCAAGUGAACCUUUCGGGGUGAAGAGCAUAUUGAGCGAGAGGUCUUCCUUGUGGUCAAUCUCUCUAGUACUCUUUGAUAAAGGUAGUCUGGGAAGACUGACUGAAAGGGCUCUUAUCCGUAUUGGUUCGUUCUUUCCUCCAUUCUCUGAGCGAAGAAAGCGUAGUCUUUUAAAGGGGUCUUUUGCUCCUAUCGUAAAGGCUAUUUCAACUCGAUCUAGUGACCGUAGGAAGGGGGAGCAUUCGAACCAUAGAAAUUGGUUUUAUCCUCUUUUCUGGCACUUAUCCUUCGCCCGAUUCGACAUCGGAAGAAGCCCCACUAUACUAGAUUGUUGCAAUUUGGGUGUGGGAUCCAUCAAUGGCUAGACGCACUUAACUUUUCUAUCGUACGUCCGGUCGGUGGCAGGAAUUACUAAAAAGGCCUUCUUGCUCUCACCUGACGAGCUAGCUUCGCCUGAGGCUCUUGUGGCUGCUGCUACUAAACUUGGUGCUCUUGCUUCGGUCGAUCGAAGAAAGAUGGUGUCAGUGACCGGAGAAGGUCCCUCUUUCUUUAGAGAAUUACCGUGGUCGUGAAGCUUCCCUUCCAUGCCAUGUCUCUUUCUCUGAGAUACGAUAACAGAAGAUAGGGAGUUGGAAAAGCUGCUAAGGGACCCACCAACACAGGAAUUUAAAGAGGUGCAGGAGCAUAAAGCCACUCGACUAUCAGCUUAGAGCAUGGAAUGGGGGUUCUCCUUUCUGAGGGGGAAAGUCUUCACCUGAACCGACCUGUCCACUUUAAAAAUGAGUUUCUCAACUGAUCUACGACCACCCUCAUCUAUUACGGUACGAAAAAAUCAAUGGCACCAGAGGAAAAAAAGUCCAGAGAAUGGAAUGUCAGUUAGGGAACAGUAGUCAGACGCAGACCAGGGCAGGUGGGCGCCACAGCUGUCUUCCUCCCUGUGAUAUCACAUAAGAGGUUUGGAGCCUUUAGGUUUUAAUCCUUCAAAUCAAACAGUUUUUGUGUAUUUUUUUUGUUUUGUCUUAGUUCUGUCUAGCGAUUCCUUUAAAUAAAUAUGUCCUACGUCCCCUCUCUUAGUAUUGGUCCUGCCCCGUACUCUGUACUCUAUCUAUCGAUGUCAACUAAAUCAAUCGCUUUUCCCGACUUGCUUUUCGCCACAUUCAAGCUUAGGAAAGAAAGUAAAGAUUGUAUUGUUUCUAAGUCCCAAUAGACUGAAAUGGGGCAUUCUGCCCAUCUAAGAGUCUAUUCUAGCAAACCAAGGGAAGCAGUUUCUUUGUCCUAACAAGGGGUUCCCCUAACUUCCAACAGGGCAUUCAUUAGUGAAACAUGUUCUUCUUUGGCCCAACAACCUACCUUCCUAGCCUAGUAGCCCAGAUCCCAGAUCGGAUUCACGUGCACAAGCUAACCGGCCCUUCUAGGAGUCAUCCCUUCUUUAAGUUUCAUGUCUGCAAAUCGGAUUCUAACUGUUAGGAAUCUCUAUCGUCUUUUGCAUAGUAUUUAUAUAGGAAAUAAUCCUCCAUCAACAGACAUGGAAAAAGAGCAAGCCAAGACUUUCACAAGAAAGCUGGACUUGGUUGGGUAAAACCUUUAUUGGGUACGAAGGUAAGCCAUAAAAAGGGGCUAAGCGGGUAUUAACUCCUUCCUUACCGCUACUACCGAGGCCUAUUGUCCACGAAGUCUGAUCUCUUAGCUGGCUUUGGAAAGGCAUACAAAGACUAUUCAAAGACAAUGGGAUUGGUUCUCUUACAGUUCAAUUCCAGGUGAAAAAGAAAGCGCAUUACUCCUUCCAAUAUUCAUUGCCUCUACUUCCGUUAGACUGGGCAAUAUAUUCUUUCUUGCGCAAAGCCUCUCUCCUGAUCUUGAUAGCACGGGAAAGAAGAACUAUAGAGUUACUAGAAUAAUGUAUGAGGAUGGACAGAUCGAGUGCAUUUCAACUCAUGAAGAGGGGGAGAUUUACACUAAAUUUCAGAAGUGGGACAAAGAGAGGCUUUUUCAAGUCUUUGUCUCCGAUACCUCCUCUCGUGGUAGGGAAGUAGCCUUCUAUCUCCGACCGAGCAAAGCGCCUUGCUGGUUCUAUCUAAAUAAGAGAGUAGGCGUGCGUUUGGUUUUAUUAGGAUUUCCAUAUCUGCCCACCUUCCUUUAUUUCAAGGUGAGAUAAGCGCCUCCAGGUUGUCUGGUCAUUUUUUUAGUAUCUAAAUCAUAGAUUAUGCCAUACUAUUAUAUGGAUUUAUUCCACGUGCAAAUCUACUCUCUUGGGCUAUCUCCCGCGUAGGAAUGUCUUGUAUCGGCCCAUUUCUUGCAAGAAAUCUAUGUGAGGUUAGUUUUGUCAAAUUUAAGGUCGUGGUCCAAUACUAGCUCUAUCUCCGAGUUACUUAGAAUAUAAAGAAGAGGGGGACCUCUCCGAGUCCUCCACAACUGAUUGUGUAAGAGUUGGGCGGGGGAUGAGUUGAUGUUGCUGGAGUUAAGCAAUACGAGCAUAAAGGAAAGAAACCGGGUAUACCAUAAGAUUGUGUAACAGACUAGUCGGCUAUUUAUUGUUCCUACAGGAAAUAGUUGGG